ensembl:misc_RNA
CAGUGUUGGUUGCUUUGGAAAAUCCCUCUUAGUUCUUGGGACAGCAGUACUAGUAAGUGCAGCAAAAUUAUCAAAGCCCAGAGGGAGUUCCACUUGUUUAACCUAGCAUCUUUGCCAGAGAGUGUAUUUAAAGCACGUAGGACACUUUGUUUCUCUGAAGCAAUG